UACAGAGGGUGCAAGCGUUGUUCGGAAUUAUUGGGCGUAAAGGGCGCGUAGGCGGUGCGGUAAGUCUGUAGUGAAAUCUCUGGGCUCAACUCAGAGUCUGCUGCAGAAACUGCCGUGCUUGAGUGUGGGAGAGGUGAGUGGAAUUCCCGGUGUAGCGGUGAAAUGCAUAGAUAUCGGGAGGAACACCCUGUGGCGAAAGCGGCUCACUGGACCACAACUGACGCUGAGGCGCGAAAGCUAGGGGAG
rnacentral:rRNA from 1 species